UUCUAGCUGGAGGCCAAAAUUAUCUCAUUAAAACAGAAAAAUGCUUGAAACAUUUCAGUUCAUGUAAUGAGUCCAGAAUAUGUUAAAUAACUGAUUUUCACAGAACUUUUCCACUAAAUUCUCAUGUUUUGAGGCGCACUUGUGCCUGCCGGUUAGCCGCGGAUGAGCCGCGGAUGAGCCGCGGGGGGCCGGUGUUUCGGCGGAGGCUGCUCCUGUGACUGAGGAGAAAGGUUUAUAACCGGAGCGGCUCGCAGUGUAAUUAAAAGCCGCGCGUUAAUUAGCGGCUGUGAGCGGCGGCAGACGGCAGGAGCUGUGAGCUCUGAGCCGGACACAGACUCAUCCGAGCCCCCGAGAGGGUUCCGCUUUAUUGGGCUCAGAGAAAGUUUCCCGCCGAGCUCGGCCAAAUGCCUUCGUUAUCGCAUUUCCCCGCUAAGCUGAAUCAGGCUGAGUGCACUUUUGGCUCCUUUGUUGGCGCUUUUUAACCUGUUAGUUACACAGACUCGGACCGUCAUUAAGAGCUUAACGCCGGCUCGGCCCCGGGCCGCGCGCGGCAAUUAAAGCUGCUCCUCAGCGCCUCCUCGCGCCAACACUGACGCGCCACACAUGCUCGUGUGUCUCUCGUGUGUCUCUCGUGUGUCUCCCGUGUGUUGUCCCUGCAGGAGCUCCCAAACUGUCCCAGGAGACGUUCAGAGCCAUCAAACCGGGACUGUCUGCGUACGCCGAUGAGCCGCAGAAGUGUGCAGCAGGGAUCCUGGAGCUCCUGGAGGUGGCGAAGUCCAGCGUCCCCCCCUCGGUCUGGGACGUCACCCCGGUGGUCCUGAAGGCGACCGCCGGCCUCCGUCUGUUGCCGGGAGAGAAGGCCGAACACCUGCUGGACACGGUGAGGGCGCUGUUUGUGGACUCUCCCUUCCUGUCCAGAGACGACAGCGUGUC